CUUCUCAAUUUACCUGCAGCAGUUCCUUCUUCUUCUUAAAGAAGAAACGAGGAUUUUGGUCUUCACUCUUCUUCCUCUCAUCCCACGGCAGCUGCACCCCGGAGACUCGAUGAAAACUCAUCAAAAUUUCCCCUUCUUCUCUGGGAAGUUUCACGUCUAAUUAAUGGGAUUGAUUUCCCUAUAAAAUCACCUAAACCAUCGAGAAGGAUGGGGGGAAGGGGAUAGCUCCAAGUUCAGCCCCAAAAGCCUUCCUUCAGCCAAAGCUCCGAGAAUCCUUCGGUUCCCUCUUCUUCCUUGUAUUCGAUUUUCUUCAAAGAGGAAGUCAGAAUCUUAAAUGGCUAUCGGUCGAGUAGACACGGAAAUACGGAGGGGCCGGUAUUCCAACUAUGGUACUAUAGACUAUAGAGUGGAUAGUUUCCAUUAAUAAACGGGCUCAGAAUAUCGACGUCUAUUACCGAUAACCAUGUUAUGAAUCUGAUAGGUAUCCCGUCAUAUUGCAUUUAAGUGUUAUAUUUGUUAAUACAGACUAUAGGGACUUGAUGUCUAUAUGUACUACAGCUAAUUGGUCGUUGCAUCCCCAUGUUAAUAUAACAUUUUGUUUACGUGAGUACACCUUGUGAGUAUACGUUAAGCAGGGGAAACUCUUCGCCCAUGUCAAGGUUGAGGUUCUCGAAGCGGUUAUAGAAACUGGUGGAGCGGAGUUCGAGGAAUCACAAGCUUUUAUAUCAACCGACUAUUUUCAAAGAUUAUAGUCACUUUCUUUUAAGUGUUUUAACUUGAGAAGUUUAUAGUUGUAUUUAUAAUGUACUCUAUUUAGGAAUCUAGUCUAUUAAACCGGGGUGUGUAUGUAAAAUAAAGUUAUUUUUGUGUUCCGCUGUAUUACAAGUAUUGCUUUAAAACCCCGUCUAUGUUGAAGUAGCACUCUUUACGAAAAUUCUAUCUUUCAAGUGUGGGUUAUGUUUUGAAGAAAGAAAAAUGCUUGACGAUUU